UUGGUUAGGGAGCUUUUCUUUUUAGGCCUGGUCGUCGUCGGUGGGGUUGAGCUAAGCCGAGGUAGGCGAGUAGCUCCUGCUACGAAGCCACGGCAUUCCGUGGAUGGAAACACAGAUACUGUAUACCCGGGUGUGCAAUCACUGGGUUUCCAUGCACGAAGUGGCUCCGACACAGGCGAGUAGCUUGUGGAGCUGGUUUAGGCCCGCGCUUACCCCCUCGAUGCCGCAGCAAGGCUACGGUCAGGUGGCCGCCCUCCGACUCCGCGGACCCAAGCGCACCCUACGCCCUCGGCUCUCGUCGGCUGGGCCGGUCCGCCGAGAUUGACCGCCGCAGCGAGCUGGUUAGCCUGCCGCGGCCGCUCGGCAAGUACCGCCGCCAGGCCUUCCUGCUGCGCUGCCGGCACCCCGUCGUCAUGCGACGCUUCUCGUCGCUCGGCGGCAGCUGCCAUCGUCGACGUGCCGGAAAACCUAAACCUAAGCCAGAGCCACGAACGUCACACACAGGCACCGCUGCGUACUGACGAGAAGACUAUUUUGUUUGUUUCAACUCAAAAAAGAGCAAGGUAAAGGUAAUAGUCGUAUAAGACUAAAGCAAUGGUAAACGAACCGUAAUAGACUUGGUUUGUAGAGGAGUACCAGGUGCCGUUCGCUGCGCAGUCAAUGUCUCGCUCCAAAGGGGACAGCGUGAGAGGUUAGACUUACGGGCCGUCGGUAAAAAGAAACGCGCACCUCGCUGGAACCCUCUGAAACCUCAGUCCAGAGGACGAAAGAAAGAACCGGCUGUUAUAAUGAUGAGGCAACAUCGAUCGAUACGCUACCAACAGGUCAAAGAUCAAAAUGGAAGAUUAAGGUAGAGACGUCGGCCUGACCAGACUUCUUCGUGUGUGGGGAGUUAAUCAGAGAACGACCUUCUACUCCUUCUACCGGAAAUCCCCGUGAAGAACGUAAGGUUAAAACUAGGAGGGUAAGGACUCAAGUGAGACGGUUAGGCUACUGGUCGAGUGUGUACGUUUCGGCGAGAGGCGGCCGCUGUACGAGCAGAGGUUCCCGCCCCUGAAACGCGAGCCGAAGAAGAGGGGCUUGUCGAGGUUGUGUUCGAACAUGGAACCGUAUACCAUGUUGUCGUAGGGACCGGCGUGGCAACAUACCUGGCGGUUGGCGCUGCUAGGUUAGCGGCGUUGAAGUAGAGACUACGAGCGGUAGUGGUUGUUAAGGCUGGACCACAACAGACUGAGGGUUCCAGUGUGAGGAACCCACCACUUCUCGCCGUAGUGCCCACACCCUCAAUGACGCCACGACGCAAGCAGCCCCUUGAAACAGGAGUACAGAGGUUUACCCUGUAGGUAUACCGUCUCAAAACUAAUGGGCUGUCUGUGGUAAGAGGGGCCACGAUCCUAGAUGGACUCGCCCUUCCGAGCACAACAGUCCGCAGAUUAACGAACCUUCCCGGGGUAAUUGGGUAGGUAACCUCUAAAAAGAAACCCGGAACUGGGUUUGAGCUUGGAAGUCAAUUAGUAGACCGUACCCUGAUACGGGAUGGAGGCGGCGUUAUAAGAGCUACCACGCAGUCAUCCACCACCGUGCAUGGUCUUAUGAUAGAAGAUGCCUCAUACUUCGCUACCAACCUUGUUCCCUGCCCACGAUAAUACUUAAGUGACAAAGACCACCGAGUGGCAUACGUGCGGAAUACGAACUGAUGUACCCGCACAACUCCAUGGAAUCGACCUUGUUGGCGAGUAGAACCCGUUGGCAGUGGCUCUUGGGGCGAUGGUGGACGCUGAACAUGCAUGCGAAGUACACCAGGCAAGCCGAUAACGCUGUUGUGACCCCGACGGCGCUGUACGGCAACAGAGCUACCCAAACUUAGGCGACCAGAAUUGUAAAGCUCGCCUACAUCUUCUUGGUUCCUUGACCUUACGCCGUCCGUUUCAGUAAAGCACUGGAACGGAUUCUACUUCAAGGGACUGUUAAAAAAUGUACAGGGGUUGUGUUCGAAACUGCUUACGUGCUGACUCACAUCGUUGUUAACGAGCACAUAUCGGGUGCGGAUGUGGUUUAACUCGUCAUUACCACGAUACCGGCUGGUCAGUUUAACGAACGAAACCUGUCCCCUCGAACAGCUAUGUCCCUUCAUAUCGUUGUUACUGUUCUUGGACAUGGAGGCCGAACGAUUGAGAGGACCAUACGUGGUGAGGUAAAAUUGGAAGAUCAAUAGAACCGUGAAUUACAAUAGUUUAGUUGUGGUUGGAAUUAGCACCCAGUAGAUGAUUUAUAUACUUGAAUUGUCAACAUAUCGUCUGACGGUUUAUAAAGAAACGCAGGUUUAUUAAACCGCAUCCCCAUUAGUCAUCUAGAUAUUGAUAAUAUAUGCUCGUAUUACGUUGUACGAGUACCAUUGUGUAAAUAGAUCAGGUGCCUAGUGAGUGCCAUGAGAUUUAAUAAAAACAAAUUUUUUUCACUACAACAAUUUAAAUAUGUACUAAACAAAACGACAAUCUUUACCGUUAAACCAUUUCUAAUAUGAGGGUUGGUACAGUACGCACGACUAUGAGCGUACGUAUCGGGAACCCUAUACGUUUAUGUUUCCAUUUUAUCUUUUACAGAGAGCAAAGUUUUAACAUGAAGUAACAAUACUCACAAUUAUUGUUUCAUAACUAGAAAUCGUUCGUUUGUUUUCUUCUUCCUUUAGGUGUUGCCUGGUUACGGUCCUAUGGAAUCGAGUAGAUUACUUCAACCACCAUUUGUACACCUGAAAGGAAAACAAUCGAAACUUCUAUAACGGUGCCGUUGCCUAUUAAAGAGCCUGAGAUUUGUUUAGCCUUCACCACCAAAACCUUUUCAAAUAUUCCCAUAGGACGUUCCCUUGUGACUUCAACGAUAGUUUUCUGAGUCAUUCCCAAGACCCGUUCCCUACCUCCUCAAAUUUUUACUCUAUUAAGAUUAACGUUUUAACGUCGUGUUUUUGGAACAAUCUGAAGAACCAACGACAUAAGUACCUCUACUCUCCAAUGAAUAGAUACUUAUGAAUGGUUUAUUUUCGGACCUACGGAAGGAAAAACUAUCGUGCUCUGUUAUACACGAACUAACCGGGUGUGCGAAGGUUUAUUAAUUUCCCCACCGCUCUCCAGAAGAAAUGGAGGUGGUUCUAAGUUCUAAUUGAUAUUAAGUGUCUCUAGACUUUGGUUCGUUGUAGAACGACCUAAGACUUUACUGAGGGUUUUAUAGUCUAAAGCCAUACCGUUCCUAGAAACCACCUUUGUCUGUUCGUUUUUGAUGGGCCCAACAACCCUGUAUACCGAUGUACAGCGGACUUAUACAAUACCCUCCACGGAAAAGACAUUUUAGCCUGUGGAUAUCGAAGCCACAAGAAGAGAAUCUCCAACAUUCACCGAACUUCUAGUGGAGUGGCGUUGACCGUCACUUGAAACAGCCGGACUGUUGAAUACGCACCUCUGAUACCCUUCUACCUUUUCGUUGUCUUGACCACGUGAGAAGCAAACGACUCUCAACAAGUGAAGUACUUCAAGAUGCCACAUAAGUACAGCCGGAGAACACACAAGUUCUGGCAGGCCUACUAUCCGGUGAGUACAGUAACCACUGAAAAUACAAUCUCUUACUUUUACGUAACGAGGGUCGUGGUUUCGUCGGACGUAUAAAACGAGAUGUCUUAAAGCUUCGACUUUUUAGUUCCCUUAUGAGACACUUAUGUCACUCAUAGUGUUGUGAUCUCCCCGCAAUUACAAUAUAUACAUUUAAGGUCAUAAUCUCGAAGUCUUCGGUACAUGACAUACUAAAUGUUUAUAAAACUUACACUAAAGAAGUCAUCCAUUAACACGAUAAGCGUCUUUCGGACACUAGUCUCCUGAUUAACUAUUACGAGACAAAGCUUAUUUUUCAAUCCAAAAAGAACGAGACAUCGACAACCUGACAACCAUAUAGAAGUCAACGAUUGUGCUGUCCUUCUUAUUCCUAUAAGCUAGUAAGACUACGUUAUGUCACAGAACGAGUAACUACAACAACCAGGCUCUAGGGAGACCAUAAGGGAGAUUACAUGGUCAGAUAAUUGUCAAAUUUACGUUAUGUAUA
rnacentral:rRNA from 1 species